rnacentral:rRNA from 1 species
AUUGAACGCUGGAGGUAUGCUUAACACAUGCAAGUCGAACGCGAACGUUCCUUCGGGAACAAGUAGAGUGGCGGACGGGUGAGUAACGCGUAGGAAUCUACCUAAGUGUGGGGGAUAACAUGGAGAAAUUCAUGCUAAUACCGCAUACGCCCUGCGGGGUAAAGAGGGCCUCUUCUUGAAAGCUCUUGCAUUUAGAUGAGCCUGCGUCGGAUUAGCUAGUUGGUUGGGGUAAUGGCCCUCCAAGGCGACGAUCCGUAGCUGGUCUGAGAGGAUGAUCAGCCACACUGGGACUGAGACACGGCCCAGACUCCUACGGGAGGCAGCAGUGGGGAAUAUUGGACAAUGGGCGCAAGCCUGAUCCAGCAAUACCUCGUGUGUGAAGAAGGCCCUAGGGUUGUAAAGCACUUUCAAUUGGGACGAAGAUUGUAAAUUUAAUACGUUUAUAAUUUGACGGUACCUUUAGAAGAAGCACCGGCUAGCUCCG